rnacentral:rRNA from 1 species
UACGUAGGAUGCAAGCGUUAAUCGGAAUUACUGGGCGUAAAGCGUGCGCAGGCGGCUUUGCAAGACAGAUGUGAAAUCCCCGGGCUUAACCUGGGAACUGCAUUUGUGACUGCAUGGCUGGAGUGCGGCAGAGGGGGAUGGAAUUCCGCGUGUAGCAGUGAAAUGCGUAGAUAUGCGGAGGAACACCGAUGGCGAAGGCAAUCCCCUGGGCCUGCACUGACGCUCAUGCACGAAAGCGUGGGAGCAA